AAUGAUGGGAAUUUAAACCUCUUCCAGAGUAUCAAUUGGAGGGCAAGUCUGGUGCCAGCAGCCGCGGUAAUUCCAGCUCCAAUAGCGUAUAUUAAACUUGUUGCAGUUAAAAAGCUCGUAGUUGAAUUUCUGCUGCAUCGUGGUUCUUCGCUAUGUCGAGUGGGCCUCGUUGUGGCUUAGUUGGGGCAUGUUUUCAUGACUCGACGUUUACUUUGAGAAAAUUAGAGUGCUUAAAGCAGGCUUUUGCCUU
rnacentral:rRNA from 1 species